rnacentral:rRNA from 1 species
UAGCGUAUAUUAAAGUUGUUGCAGUUAGAACGCUCGUAGUCGGAUUUCGGGGCAGUCCGACCGGUCUGCCGAUGGGUAUGCACUGGUUGGAGUGUCCUUUCUGCCGGAGACCGUGCCUACUCUUAACUGAGCGGGGGCGGGAGACGGCACUUUUACUUUGAAAAAAUCAGAGUGUUUCAAGCAGGCAGCUCGCUCUUGCAUGGAUUAGCAUGGGAUAAUGAAAUAGGACUUUGGUGCUAUUUUGUUGGUUUCGAACACCGAAGUAAUGAUGAGAAGGGACAGUCAGGGGCACUCGUAUUCCGCAGAGAGAGGUGAAAUUCUCAGACCCGCGGAAGACGAACCACUGCGAAAGCAUUUG